rnacentral:rRNA from 1 species
GACGAACGCUGGCGGCGUGCCUAAUACAUGCAAGUAGAACGCACAGGAUGCACCGUAGUUUACUACACCGUAUUCUGUGAGUUGCGAACGGGUGAGUAACGCGUAGGUAACCUGCCUGGUAGCGGGGGAUAACUAUUGGAAACGAUAGCUAAUACCGCAUAAGAACAUUUACUGCAUGGUAGAUGUUUAAAAGGUGCAAAAGCAUCACUACCAGAUGGACCUGCGUUGUAUUAGCUAGUUGGUGAGGUAACGGCUCACCAAGGCAACGAUACAUAGCCGACCUGAGAGGGUGAUCGGCCACACUGGGACUGAGACACGGCCCAGACUCCUACGGGAGGCAGCAGUAGGGAAUCUUCGGCAAUGGGGGGAACCCUGACCGAGCAACGCCGCGUGAGUGAAGAAGGUUUUCGGAUCGUAAAGCUCUGUUGUUAAGGAAGAACGUGUGGAGAGGGAAAGUUCACA